rnacentral:rRNA from 1 species
GUUCCUACGGGGGGCAGCAGUGAGGAAUAUUGGUCAAUGGUCGGGAGACUGAACCAGCCAAGCCGCGUGAGGGAUGAAGGUACAGAGUAUCGUAAACCUCUUUUGUCAGGGAACAAAGGCGGGGACGUGUCCCCGGAUGAGUGUACCUGAAGAAAAAGCAUCGGCUAACUCCGUGCCAGCAGCCGCGGUAAUACGGAGGGGGCAAGCGUUAUCCGGAUUCACUGGGGGUAAAGGGAGCGUAGACGGCGAGACAAGUCUGGAGUGAAAGGCCGGGGCCCAACCCCGGGACUGGUCUGGAAACUGCC